CCUCAUUUGCAUGUCUCACAUCUGAUUGGUUACUCUCUCUCAGUACCUUACAGAACCUCAUUAUCAUGCCCGGGCCAGGCAGUGUCUUUGCAAAAAACUUUACUGCAUAUGUCCACAUUGGUUGUUUGUCCAAACUUAUACGUGGUGGCCAGCAGUAGUCAGUGCCACUCUGCAACGGCACAUGUGGCUUCCCACACCUCUCACUGGCUUCCUAGUUAUUUUCAGGUUAUCCUGCUAUUUUAUAGCACCUAGGGACAUGAGCCUAGAGGUGGUACCUACCACAGUAAGCUGGGCUCCCCUGCAACAAUCAUCAAUCAAGAAAAGGUACCUUAGGCAUUGCCACAGGCCAAUCAGUUUGAGAAGAACACAGUGAAGCCAGAAGUAAGAAAAGGAAAGGAGAACUGUGAAAAAUCUGGC
rnacentral:lncRNA from 1 species